CUAAAUCUGAUGAUGCAGAACCGUGGAUACAGAGAACUGGCUGUACAUCACAUAUCACAGUGUUUGCAAUAAUGUAUCAAGCUCUCAAAAUGGAACCAUACGGCAACAUAUUUGAGUGAAGCUUUGGCAGGACCAUGUCUCUGAAUGUCUCAUUGGAAGGGUUUCAUCACUGUCCCUGAAAGCCUCCUUCAUCAAGAUUUUUUGAAUGUUGUAUUUCCUGAGUUGACUCUGAUUUUCUAAUCUUUGCUUUUCUGAUUUACAUGUCUGUUUGGUUCUAUAUUCCGAGUAAGUAGCUUGCGUUUGUCUUCCAACUCUUCAAAUUAUUGUUGCAUUUGUGCUUUAUCAUUAAAUGCCAAGAAUUCCUUUUAUAAUUGAUGUACUUUUGAGCUGGUCAGUUUUUAUUAAAAAAAAAAUUUAGAAACUUCUGCUCAGAUAAUCUGUGCUUUAGAUGAUUAUAACAUGUCAUUAAUAAUUUUCUGAUUUUUAUGCUUGUAUUGGCCUUAAAGAUAAUGUCCAUGUUAUAGAAAAUACAAAUUGAGUGUUCAGGAAUAAAGGCCUAACACAUCUUCAAU
rnacentral:lncRNA from 10 species